rnacentral:rRNA from 1 species
AGAGUUUGAUCCUGGCUCAGGACGAACGCUGGCGGCGCGCCUAACACAUGCAAGUCGAACGAGAGAGAGGGAGCUUGCUUCCUCAAUCGAGUGGCGAACGGGUGAGUAACGCGUGAGGAACCUGCCUCAAAGAGGGGGACAACAGUUGGAAACGACUGCUAAUACCGCAUAAGCCCACGGCUCGGCAUCGAGCAGAGGGAAAAGGAGCAAUCCGCUUUGAGAUGGCCUCGCGUCCGAUUAGCUAGUUGGUGAGGUAAUGGCCCACCAAGGCGACGAUCGGUAGCCGGACUGAGAGGUUGAACGGCCACAUUGGGACUGAGACACGGCCCAGACUCCUACGGGAGGCAGCAGUGGGGAAUAUUGCACAAUGGGGGAAACCCUGAUGCAGCGACGCCGCGUGGAGGAAGAAGGUCUUCGGAUUGUAAACUCCUGUUGUUGAGGAAGAUAAUGACGGUACUCAACAAGGAAGUGACAGCUAACUACGUGCCAGCAGCCGCGGUAAACGUAGGUCACAAGCGUUGUCCGGAAUUACUGGGUGUAAAGGGAGCGCAGGCGGGCGAUCAAGUUGGAAGUGAAAUCCAUGGGCUCAACCCAUGAACUGCUUACAAAACUGAUUGUCUUGAGUAGUGCAGAGGUAGGCGGAAUUCCCGGUGUAGCGGUGGAAUGCGUAGAUAUCGGGAGGAACACCAGUGGCGAAGGCGGCCUACUGGGCACCAACUGACGCUGAGGCUCGAAAGUGUGGGUAGCAAACAGGAUUAGAUACCCUGGUAGUCCACACCGUAAACGGUGAUUACUAGGUGUUGGAGGAUUGACCCCUUCAGUGCCGCAGUUAACACAAUAAGUAAUCCACCUGGGGAGUACGACCGCAAGGUUGAAACUCAAAGGAAUUGACGGGGGCCCGCACAAGCAGUGGAGUAUGUGGUUUAAUUCGACGCAACGCGAAGAACCUUACCAAGUCUUGACAUCCUGCGACGAUGCUAGAAAUAGUAUUUUCCUUCGGGACGCAGAGACAGGUGGUGCAUGGUUGUCGUCAGCUCGUGUCGUGAGAUGUUGGGUUAAGUCCCGCAACGAGCGCAACCCUUAUGGUCAGUUACUACGCAAGAGGACUCUGGCCAGACUGCCGUUGACAAAACGGAGGAAGGUGGGGAUGACGUCAAAUCAUCAUGCCCUUUAUGACUUGGGCUACACACGUACUACAAUGGCGCUAAACAAAGAGAAGCAAGACCGCGAGGUGGAGCAAAACUCAGAAACAACGUCCCAGUUCGGACUGCAGGCUGCA